GGCCGGCAGCGGGAUAUUCCCGGGCGGCGAGAGCGGAUUUGCCAUGGCUUUCGGUGCUGGGCUCUGGGGCCCCUUCACCCAUGCAAGCCGAGCGCUCAGCCAGCGCAGUUUCAGCACCACCGGAAGCCUCAGUGCAAUUCAGAAGAUGACGCGGGUCCGUGUGGUGGACAACAGUGCCCUGGAAAAUACCCCAUACCAUCGCCCUCCUUGUUGCAUCCACAUCUAUAACAAGAACAGGGUGGGCAAGGUGGGCGACCGGAUACUGCUGGCCAUCAAGGGACAGAAGAAAAAGGCACUCAUUGUGGGGCAUCGCAUGCCCGGUCCCCGGAUGACCCCCAGGUUUGACUCCAACAAUGUGGUCCUCAUUGAGGACAACGGGAACCCUGUAGGGACCCGAAUUAAAACGCCCAUCACCACCAGCCUACGCCAGAGGGAAGGUGAAUUUUCCAAGGUCCUGGCCAUUGCUCAGAACUUUGUGUGAGCAGGGCUCGGGCCGCUGGCUGCGGUGGGACUCAUGAGAGGGAACUCGGGGCCCCAUGGCUGGGGAACAGUGUCCUGUGAAAAAAUAAACCUUUU